UCCACUGCGAGUUUCUAAAAAAAAAAAAAUGAAACAGCAUCCAUAAAACAUUCGAUGGAGUAAUAAGGCUGUGGAACGUAUACCUUACGAUUAGAAACUUCAAUUUUUAAUUCCCCCACACCGCACAAAAAAGUGAACAAGAAAAAACCGACUAAAAAACCAAGCCUCUUUCAGUUCAUUUUCACUUUCUUCACACAGAGGAACAAAUGACGUAAGACGUCCGGCACGCAUCUUGCGACGUACGGGUAACGGAAGUAAACGUGCUGUCCUGAAAAAGUCAUUCUGGGCUUAGUCUACAAACUGUUUUAUGUGGUGUGUUUUCUGUCAUCUUUGGAGGUCUUUACCCAAUUUCCAUGAUCAGAAUGGUUCCUACUGAAGCCUUUUCUCGUCCUCUUGGCCGAAAUGAAGUUAUUGGUUUAUUAUUUCGACUGACAAUAUUUGGUGCUGUUACUUACUAUACAAUCAAAUGGAUGGUUGAUGCUAUUGAUCCUACUAGGAAG